rnacentral:rRNA from 1 species
GACGAACGCUGGCGGCGUGCCUAAUACAUGCAAGUCGAACGCAGUGGGGACGGGUGAGUAACACGUGGGUAACCUCCCAUCAGAGGGGAUAACACUUGGAAACAGGUGCUAAACCGAUACUGAUGGAUGGACCCGCGGUGCAUUAGCUAGUUGGUGAGGUAACGGCUCACCAAGGCCACGAUGCAUAACCGAUCUGAGCGGGUGGUGAGCCAGACUGGGACUGCGAAACGGCCCAGACUCCCUACAGAGGCAGCAGUAGGGAAUAGUCGGCAAUGGACGAAAGUCUAACCGGGCAACGCCGGGUGAGUGAAGAAGGUUUUCGGAUCGUAAAACUCAGUUGUUAGAUAAGCGGUAUCUAACCAGAAAGCAACGGCUAACUACGUGCCAGCCGCCGCGGUAAUAC